rnacentral:rRNA from 1 species
UAGGGAAUCUUCGGCAAUGGGGGGAACCCUGACCGAGCAACGCCGCGUGAGUGAAGAAGGUUUUCGGAUCGUAAAGCUCUGUUGUUAAGGAAGAACGAGUGUGAGAAUGGAAAGUUCAUACUGUGACGGUACUUAACCAGAAAGGGACGGCUAACUACGUGCCAGCAGCCGCGGUAAUACGUAGGUCCCGAGGGUUGUCCGGAUUUAUUGGGCGUAAAGGGAGCGCAGGCGGUUAGAUAAGUCUGAAGUUAAAGGCAGUGGCUCAACCAUUGUAGGCUUUGGAAACUGUUUAACUUGAGUGCAGAAGGGGAGAGUGGAAUUCCAUGUGUAGCGGUGAAAUGCGUAGAUAUAUGGAGGAACACCGGUGGCGAAAGCGGCUCUCUGGUCUGUAACUGACGCUGAGGCUCGAAAGCGUGGGGAGCGAACAGG